rnacentral:rRNA from 1 species
CUUACCUUAAUAGUAAGAGUGACGGGCGAUGUGUGCAUAUUUUAAAACUAAAAUCAAAACUAUAAUCUUUUAAUUUUUACUAACAAAUCCACCUUCAUUAAAAUAUUAAAAAAUUAAAUCCGUUUAAAUAAAUUUAUUGUAACCCAUCUCUUCUUAAAUAUAAGCUACACCUUGAUCUGAUAUAAAUUUUAAUUUAAAUUAUUGAAAAUUAUUAUUCUAAUAAAAUAUUCUGAUAACGACGGUAUAUAAGCUGAAAAACAAAUUUAAGUGAGGUACAUCGUGGAUUAUCAAUUACAGGACAGGUUCCUCUGAAUAGAAUAAAAUACCGCCAAAUUUUUUAAGUUUCAAGAACAUAACUAAUACUACCUAAGUGUUUAUUUUUACAUUACAAAUAAUA